UGUGCUAUUGGAAUGGCCGAUAUCUGAUUAGCUAGUUGGUAGGGUAAAAGCCUACCAAGGCGACGAUCAGUAGCUGGUCUGAGAGGACGACCAGCCACACUGGAACUGAGACACGGUCCAGACUCCUACGGGAGGCAGCAGUGGGGAAUUUUGGACAAUGGGGGCAACCCUGAUCCAGCAAGGCCGCGUGAGUGAAGAAGGCCCUCGGGUUGUAAAGCUCUUGGUCAGGGAAGAAACGGUGAUCUCUAAUAUAGA
rnacentral:rRNA from 1 species